rnacentral:snRNA from 1 species
GGAUAUGAGGGUGAUCUGGCUGCAACAUCCGUCACCCCAUUCAGGGUUGAUUUGGCUGAUCUGGCUGGCUAGGCAGGUGUCCCCUUCCUCCUCACCACUCCAUGUGCAUCCCUCCUGAAGCUCUGCACUUGGUCAAAGAGAAUGACCAUCCCUGAUAGAGGAGGACCCGUCUUCGGUGAAGGGUAUAUGAGUAGCUGUGCUUCCCUGCUAGAACCUCCAAACAACCUCUCAAGAAUAGAAAAAGAUAUAAUAAAGGGAGGAUAAUUUUUUUUUAAAAAAAGACAAAAACACUUAAAAAUAAAUGUUU